GGCGAACGCUGGCGGCACGCCUCAUACAUGCAAGUCGAGCGAUCGGCGGCGGGAAGCUUGCUUCCUGCCGCACGGAGCGGCGAACGGGUGAGUAACACGUGGGUAACCUGCCUCGAGGACCGGGAUAACGUCGGGAAACUGGCGCUAAUACCGGAUGUUCUUUCCGGAUCGCAUGGUCUGGAAAGGAAAUGGUCCUUCCGCCUCGAGAGGGACCCGCGUCCUAUCAGCUUGUUGGUGGGUAACGGCCUACCAAGGCUUUGACGGGUAGCCGGCCUGAGAGGGUGUUCGGCCACACCGGGACUGAGACACGGCCCGGACUCCUACGGGAGGCAGCAGUAGGGGAUCUUGCACAAUGGGCGAAAGCCUGAUGCAGCGAUGCCGCGUGAGGGAUGAAGG
rnacentral:rRNA from 1 species